rnacentral:rRNA from 1 species
CGCGAAUACUCCGCAAUGCGGGCAACAGCGACGGGGCCACGCCGAGUGCCGGGCGAAGAGCCCGGCUUUUGCCCGGUGUAAGGAGCCGGGCGAAUAAGCGGGGGGUAAGUCUGGGGUCAGCCGCCGCGGUAAUACCAUCCCCGCGCGUGGUGCGGGGGGUUACUGGGCUUAACGCGCCCGUAGCCGGCCCGGCCAGUCGCUGCUGAAAUCCCCGGGGCCCACCCGGGGGCCGUGCGCGCUCCUGCCGG